rnacentral:miRNA from 1 species
GCUGUGUAAUUUGACUCAUAACUCUCUGAUUGUUGGUAACACCAAUCAGAGAGUUAUGAGUCAAAUUACACAGCGU